GAUGAACGCUGGCGGCGUGCCUAAUACAUGCAAGUCGAGCGAACAGACGAGGAGCUUGCUCCUCUGACGUUAGCGGCGGACGGGUGAGUAACACGUGGAUAACCUACCUAUAAGACUGGGAUAACUUCGGGAAGCCGGAGCUAAUACUGGAUAAUAUAUUGAACCGCAUGGUUCAAUAGUGAAAGACGGUUUUGCUGUCACUUAUAGAUGGAUCCGCGCCGCAUUAGCUAGUUGGUAAGGUAACGGCUUACCAAGGCAACGAUGCGUAGCCGACCUGAGAGGGUGAUCGGCCACACUGGAACUGAGACACGGUCCAGACUCCUACGGGAGGCAGCAGUAGGGAAUCUUCCGCAAUGGGCGAAAGCCUGACGGAGCAACGCCGCGUGAGUGAUGAAGGUCUUCGGAUCGUAAAACUCUGUUAUUAGGGAAGAACAAAUGUGUAAGUAACUAUGCACGUCUUGACGGUACCUAAUCAGAAAGCCACGGCUAACUACGUG
rnacentral:rRNA from 1 species